GUCUCUGUGGCUCAAUGGGUCAGGGUGCCUGGCUAUUAGCCAGAAGGUUGGUGGUUCAAGCCUACCCAGGGACU
rnacentral:tRNA from 1 species